CCCCUGCAAGCAGGUCUCCUUCCCAGCGGUUUGCUCCGGUGUUCCCCGAACCCCCGUGCAAGCAGGUCUCCUUCCCAGCGGUUUGCUCUGGUGUUUUUUGAACCCCCGUGCAAGCAGAUCUCCUUCCCCGCGGUGUGCUGUCGCGUUCCCCGAACCCCCGUGCAAGCAGGUCUCCUUCCCAGCGGUUUGCUCCGGUGUUCCCCGAACCUCCCUGCAAGCAGGUCUCCUUCCCAGCGGUUUGCUCCGGUGUUCCCCGAACCCCCGUGCAAGCAGGUCUCCUUCCCAGCGGUUUGCUCCGGUGUUUUUUGAACCCCCGUGCAAGCAGAUCUCCUUCCCCGCGGUGUGCUGUCGCGUUCCCCGAACCCCUCUGCAAACCGCGGGGAAGGAGAUCUGCUUGCACGGGGGUUAGGGGAACGCGAGAGCAAACCGCGGGGAAGGAGACCUGCUUCCCCGCGGUUUGCUCUCGCGUUCCCCGAACCCCCCUGCAAACCGCGGGGAAGGAGACCUGCUUGAUUACCAGAGAGGCUUCCUCUGGUAAGCUGGGAUACCUGUUUAUUCCAUGGAGGUCAAGAAAAACGCUGGUGAGUGUUUACACCUGAUGACCAGCGCUGGAUCACCAGCGCUGGAUCCUCUACACCCGAGUUUCAACGGGUGUACGGCCAGCGCUGCAAACAGGGAGUUGCAGCGCUGGUGAUGCCCUGCAGAUGUGUACACCUCCUAAGUUGCAGCGCUAUAACUCCCUCACCAGCGCUGCAACUUUGUGGUGUAGACAAGG